rnacentral:rRNA from 1 species
UACAGAGGUCUCAAGCGUUGUUCGGAUUCAUUGGGCGUAAAGGGUGCGUAGGCGGCGCGGUAAGUCGGGUGUGAAAUCUCGGAGCUUAACUCCGAAACUGCAUUCGAUACUGCCGUGCUUGAGGACUGGAGAGGAGACUGGAAUUUACGGUGUAGCGGUGAAAUGCGUAGAUAUCGUAAGGAAGACCGGUGGCGAAGGCGACUACCUGGCCUGUUCUUGACGCUGAGGCGCGAAAGCUAGGGGAGCAAACGGG